UACGAAGGGGGCUAGCGUUGCUCGGAAUCACUGGGCGUAAAGGGUGCGUAGGCGGGUCUUUAAGUCAGGGGUGAAGUCCUGGAGCUCAACUCCAGAACUGCCUUUGAUACUGAGGAUCUUGAGUUCGGGAGAGGUGAGUGGAACUGCGAGUGUAGAGGUGAAAUUCGUAGAUAUUCGGAAGAACACCAGUGGCGAAGGCGGCUCACUGGACUGGUAUUGACGCUGAGGUGCGAAAGCGUGGGGAGCAAACAGG
rnacentral:rRNA from 1 species